UCACCAGGUAGUGGACCUGGAGCGCCGAAACUACGGAGCGCUUGUCCUGGAAAUCAAGUUUCACCAGGUACGGACCUGGAGCGUAGAAACUACGGGGCGCUUGUCGUGGAAGUGGAGUUUCACCAGGAAGCGAACCCGGAGCGCAGGAUCCAGGAGGUAGAGAACCCGGUACUC